AUAUAUAUUUUCGCAUCGAUUAAAAUUAUUUUUGACCAUUAAUUGAUUCAGUGUCAGUCACAGUGCGCUCUAAACAUCGAUAGCUGAUUUGGCUCUCCUCUCAUUCGCGUACAAUAACAAAACAAAAAUAUUAUGUUUUCCAACCGAAGCAAACAAGAGUGACCGCAGGAUCGUAGAACAAGAGUCCGGUGUUGGCGAUUGCGGAAAACUGGUGGUGCCGAGUGCUAACAAAGUGCAAAAGUGCCUCACAAAUGUCCCAUUUGGAUUUCAGGCUUGCUGACCAGCCCAUAAUACGCCGCAGAAAUGUCAGACCAUCAGGCACGACAUUGCUCAUCUCUCGGAGCCAGCAAAAGAUAAUCUUCGUAUUUCGGAGGUCGAAAAAACGGAAAAAUGGUGUAUGUUGACGACUACGAUGCACACUCCGAUGAUUGCCUACAUUGUUCUGGUGAAGCGGCCACAUUUCAGUAUAAAAUACUGGAAUAAUCUCCGGAAUAAUUUAUUACAGCAAUAAAAAGAAAAAAAAACUA